AGCGGCGGACGGGUGAGUAAUGCCUAGGAAUCUGCCUGGUAGUGGGGGAUAACGUUCGGAAACGGACGCUAAUACCGCAUACGUCCUACGGGAGAAAGCAGGGGACCUUCGGGCCUUGCGCUAUCAGAUGAGCCUAGGUCGGAUUAGCUAGUUGGUGGGGUAAUGGCUCACCAAGGCGACGAUCCGUAACUGGUCUGAGAGGAUGAUCAGUCACACUGGAACUGAGACACGGUCCAGACUCCUACGGGAGGCAGCAGUGGGGAAUAUUGGACAAUGGGCGAAAGCCUGAUCCAGCCAUGCCGCGUGUGUGAAGAAGGUCUUCGGAUUGUAAAGCACUUUAAGUUGGGAGGAAGGGUUGUAGAUUAAUACUCUGCAAUUUUGACGUUACCGACAGAAUAAGCACCGGCUAACUCUGUG
rnacentral:rRNA from 1 species